UACGUAGGGCGCAAGCGUUGUCCGGAAUUAUUGGGCGUAAAGAGCUCGUAGGCGGCCUGUUGCGUCCGCUGUGAAGUCCCGGGGCUCAACCCCGGGCCUGCAGUGGAUACGGGCUGGCUAGAGGCAGGCAGGGGAGAACGGAAUUCCUGGUGUAGCGGUGAAAUGCGCAGAUAUCAGGAGGAACACCGGUGGCGAAGGCGGUUCUCUGGGCCUGUACUGACGCUGAGGAUCGAAAGCGUGGGGAGCGAACAGG
rnacentral:rRNA from 1 species